CAAAAUGCUAUUAUUCCAUCGCAAAUUGAAAUUGAACAGUACAUAUAAGAUCAACAUUUUUUUUAUAUAUACAUAUAAUGAAACAAUGUUAUUGGCAUUGGCUUAUGCCAUGCACUUCAACACACUAAUUACACAUAAUAGCUGGUCCCUUAUCAUGAUAGAAUUAGACGCAGAAUCUCUCCUGAGAACUUGAAUGACUUUUCUGUUUCUUCCAGACAAUGAUCUUUCUCUUCUCGUGUCCAUUCCUAAAGAAACAACAAAGGAUUACCAUCAUUACAAAAAAAAAAAACACUAUCACUUUAGCCUUUGCAGCCUAGACAUGAAGAAAAAAGUUGAAAUCAACUUAUUGGUUAUAUGCCACAAGAUUGUGACGAAAAUAUAUGCAAAUAAUCAAGAGUUUUCAUGAAACAUACUUCAGCAACUUUAUUCAGUUUGUCCCUCACAUUCUGCAACAACUGCUUAAGGUCGCCAUCCCAUUUAUAGAACUCCAAAGCUUGGUCGUUAAGUAACUGACCAGCAAUCUGUAAGAGUAAAAGUAAGAAUGAAGGGAAAUCUAUUCUUGUGUAAAAAGGAAUAGUCAACAAUCAUUAUUAGUUUUUUGCCAACAUCAGAUGAAAAAUGACUGAAACAUAUCAAAUGCAUGUUGUGUAUUACUUCAUAUACUAGUAUUAUGAAAAGAAUGUACAGUGUUGUAAACGUGAUUUACUCCGGAAACUUUACAUAUCCAACUACCCAAAAAGUAGUGGGAAACCAUACUUAUGCAUAGAGUUAAGGAGUCAGUUGUUUUGCUUGUUGAAUUUUUUAAACAGCUUAUAAUCAAAAUGCUUCAGAAAAUGGUUUAUGCGGAAAAGAUUUUUCAGGCGCAGAAUAUGCUAAUCUAAAUCAUGUACACAUUAACUCAGAAUAUUGUGUAAUUACAAUCAGAAUGCCCGUAAUACCACCCAACAAAGUAUUUAAUGCUGAGCGAUGUGAAACAUAUGAGUAAACAAGUGACACAACUACCAUGUAAAAGAAUGUCAAAACAUCACCAUUUCAUCAAAAAAUCAAGUAUGAUUUGACAUCUCUAAGGAGAUAUCUAUCAAGAUUAAAAUGAAAAUAUCUUCACAUAAAAAGUGUUAUAUUGUUAAUCGUGAAAGAUACUCGACCAAAGAUGUGCUACAUAUAAUCAAUGUGUUGCUCAGCAUGAUUUAAGCUCUUUUAGCCUAGAUGCAAAUAGUUACCUUCUUCCCAAUCAUUCGACCGCCAGCUGAAUGAGCAAAGUAGAUGUUGUAAAAGUGGCAAAUGAAGGCUUGAGGGUCGUUCUGAGAUAAAUCUGUAAGAUAUUGAGCAUAAGUAAGACCAGGAGAUGAAGGUUCAGGAAUGGUAUAACCUUGCUCCUUGAACCACUUCAAAUCUUUGUCCAAAUUUGCAGACCUUUCCAAUCCAGUAUUUUUGAAUUCAGCAUCUACACAACAAACACCAGCCAAUUGGAUAAUAAAAUUAACAGAGAACCUUAGUACACCCGAGAACACAAACUCAACAGUUAUCUCUAGAUAUGAAAAGAAGUAUAUGUACCCGUAACAGCAAGAAACACUUAGAAAAUAAAAUCUAUCUGAACUAACAACAAGCCCUGGAUAUCAAGAAGCUUAAAGAUAACGUUACGAAAGAACAAUCAUAUGGUUUUGCAGUUAAUUACUAUAAUUCAAUCCCAAACAAAGCCGUAAGAUAAUCAAAAUGCACAAUCGAUUUAUCUAAACAGUAACUAGAUAAAGACAAGACAACUAUGAAAAACUUCAAUGGUGUGCCCAGUUAUUUCAAAAGUACAGAUAUGACUCCAGGAAAAAUUUCAGUGGUGGAAGCAGCUGCGGAUGUAAAUCAAAUUCAAAUGUUUAUCUUCCAGUGAUAAAAGGAGAAUUCGACUGGGAAAAAAACCAGACUACAUAUAAAAAUUGCAAAAAGACAAAAAAACAAAAAACAAAAAAAAACAUAGAGAAGCACAAUAGUUUUUUCAUCUUAAGGAGUUAUUAUUAUUGGUUUGAGUUUGAGAUGGUAGUACUAGGGAACUGAUUCUCUUCGGUGAGAAUACUUUCUGCAGUGAAAUAUCAACCAUUUUGCCAAACAAGAUUGAGGGGCUUUUCACUUCCCUCCAUGUAAAUCUCAAAGAUCAUAUGCCAAACAAGAUUUAAGUAUUCUUUUUGAAUUUCAAACAAGUACAGGUCAUAUGAUCAUAUCAAUUCACAACUGCAUCAUAAUCGGGUUAGCAAUCAGGAUUUUAAAAAGCUUCGGUAAUAUUAGUUAGAGUCACACGUAAUCAUUGAUGCUCCCUUUGUCCCAAAUAAACCGACAAGUUUGAUUGUUUCACACAUGACAAUGCACAAUUUUAAUAUUUAAUAUUUUUAAUUAUCUAUUAGCAAAAAUUAUAAUAAAAAAAUUGAUAAUUUGAAAACAUUCAUCGAGACAAAUCCAACAACAUCUUAUAUAUGACCGAUUUAUUUUUAUAUCUUACUACUAGAAAACUAUAGUCAAAGUACAUUAUAUGAAAAGUGCAAAUAAUCAAACUAAGUCAGUUAAUUUGGGACGGAUGGAGUAUUGGAGAGAAUUGUGGUCAAUUGCGAAGUCAAUCGCAGUCCAGCUCGCAGUCGUGCACCUUUAUUUACAACCCUGUAAACGACAUCAUGGUUUUUUAUGUCUUUAAGAUAUCACCAAGAACUAAUUUCAAUCCUUAUUCUCAACAAUAUCAAUCACAAAAACAAAUUUUCUUUUUUCACAAUUUAAACAUUCAAUUCAAGUGAUAACCCAAAAACGCAUAAACAAUAGAGUUAGAGUUGAAGAUUAUGCUAUAAAGAAAACUUACAAUAAGCAGCAUCUUGAACAAUCUUUUCAAGAGUAUCAUAAACAAUUUUGCUAUCAACAAGAAACCUCAAAUACCCAUCAACACUAGGUUCCCACUUUGUGACAGCUCUCUCUUCAGGCUCUGUAACUUCUUUCUCACCUUCUUUAGCCUGGUCCUUUGUAUGUAACCUCAUAGCCACAAACCUCAUCUCCUCCACAAACCCCUUUGACUCACCUGGAUGACGCUUCUUCUCCGCCGCUGCCGAAGUCGCCGAGACAAUAACCGUCGAUUGUUUCAUAGGAGGCAUCCUGUUAAACGAGGAGAAUGAUAGUUUCUUUUGGAAGAAGAAAUUGGAACGGAAUUGAUGAGUUGAGAAUUGGGGGUAAUUGGUUUUAUAAUGAAAAAUGGAUUGGAUUUGGUAGAGAGGUGUUAGUGACGCCAUGGAUUG
rnacentral:lncRNA from 1 species